UUAAGUUAUUAAGGGCGCACGGUGGAUGCCUUGGCACUAGAAGCCGAUGAAGGACGUUACUAACGACGAUAUGCUUUGGGGAGCUGUAAGUAAGCUUUGAUCCAGAGAUUUCCGAAUGGGGAAACCCAGCAUGAGUUAUGUCAUGUUAUCGAUAUGUGAAUACAUAGCAUAUCAGAAGGCACACCCGGAGAACUGAAACAUCUUAGUACCCGGAGGAAGAGAAAGAAAAUUCGAUUCCCUUAGUAGCGGCGAGCGAAACGGGAAGAGCCCAAACCAACAAGCUUGCUUGUUGGGGUUGUAGGACACUCUAUACGGAGUUACAAAGGACGACAUUAGACGAAUCAUCUGGAAAGAUGAAUCAAAGAAGGUAAUAAUCCUGUAGUCGAAAAUGUUGUCUCUCUUGAGUGGAUCCUGAGUACGACGGAGCACGUGAAAUUCCGUUGGAAUCUGGGAGGACCAUCUCCUAAGGCUAAAUACUCUCUAGUGACCGAUAGUGAACCAGUACCGUGAGGGAAAGGUGAAAAGCACCCCGGAAGGGGAGUGAAAUAGAACCUGAAACCGUGUGCUUACAAGUAGUCAGAGCCCGUUAAUGGGUGAUGGCGUGCCUUUUGUAGAAUGAACCGGCGAGUUACGAUUUGAUGCAAGGUUAAGCAGUAAAUGUGGAGCCGUAGCGAAAGCGAGUCUGAAUAGGGCGUUUAGUAUUUGGUCGUAGACCCGAAACCAGGUGAUCUACCCUUGGUCAGGUUGAAGUUCAGGUAACACUGAAUGGAGGACCGAACCGACUUACGUUGAAAAGUGAGCGGAUGAACUGAGGGUAGCGGAGAAAUUCCAAUCGAACCUGGAGAUAGCUGGUUCUCUCCGAAAUAGCUUUAGGGCUAGCCUCAAGUGAUGAUUAUUGGAGGUAGAGCACUGUUUGGACGAGGGGCCCCUCUCGGGUUACCGAAUUCAGACAAACUCCGAAUGCCAAUUAAUUUAACUUGGGAGUCAGAACAUGGGUGAUAAGGUCCGUGUUCGAAAGGGAAACAGCCCAGACCACCAGCUAAGGUCCCAAAAUAUAUGUUAAGUGGAAAAGGAUGUGGCGUUGCCCAGACAACUAGGAUGUUGGCUUAGAAGCAGCCAUCAUUUAAAGAGUGCGUAAUAGCUCACUAGUCGAGUGACACUGCGCCGAAAAUGUACCGGGGCUAAACAUAUUACCGAAGCUGUGGAUUGUCCUUUGGACAAUGGUAGGAGAGCGUUCUAAGGGCGUUGAAGCAUGAUCGUAAGGACAUGUGGAGCGCUUAGAAGUGAGAAUGCCGGUGUGAGUAGCGAAAGACGGGUGAGAAUCCCGUCCACCGAUUGACUAAGGUUUCCAGAGGAAGGCUCGUCCGCUCUGGGUUAGUCGGGUCCUAAGCUGAGGCCGACAGGCGUAGGCGAUGGAUAACAGGUUGAUAUUCCUGUACCACCUAUAAUCGUUUUAAUCGAUGGGGGGACGCAGUAGGAUAGGCGAAGCGUGCGAUUGGAUUGCACGUCUAAGCAGUAAGGCUGAGUAUUAGGGAAAUCCGGUACUCAUUAAGGCUGAGCUGUGAUGGGGAGAAGACAUUGUGUCUUCGAGUCGUUGAUUUCACACUGCCGAGAAAAGCCUCUAGAUAGAAAAUAGGUGCCCGUACCGCAAACCGACACAGGUAGUCAAGAUGAGAAUUCUAAGGUGAGCGAGCGAACUCUCGUUAAGGAACUCGGCAAAAUGACCCCGUAACUUCGGGAGAAGGGGUGCUCUUUAGGGUUAACGCCCAGAAGAGCCGCAGUGAAUAGGCCCAAGCGACUGUUUAUCAAAAACACAGGUCUCUGCUAAACCGUAAGGUGAUGUAUAGGGGCUGACGCCUGCCCGGUGCUGGAAGGUUAAGAGGAGUGGUUAGCUUCUGCGAAGCUACGAAUCGAAGCCCCAGUAAACGGCGGCCGUAACUAUAACGGUCCUAAGGUAGCGAAAUUCCUUGUCGGGUAAGUUCCGACCCGCACGAAAGGCGUAACGAUUUGGGCACUGUCUCAACGAGAGACUCGGUGAAAUCAUAGUACCUGUGAAGAUGCAGGUUACCCGCGACAGGACGGAAAGACCCCGUGGAGCUUUACUGUAGCCUGAUAUUGAAAUUCGGCACAGCUUGUACAGGAUAGGUAGGAGCCUUUGAAACGUGAGCGCUAGCUUACGUGGAGGCGCUGGUGGGAUACUACCCUAGCUGUGUUGGCUUUCUAACCCGCACCACUUAUCGUGGUGGGAGACAGUGUCAGGCGGGCAGUUUGACUGGGGCGGUCGCCUCCUAAAAGGUAACGGAGGCGCUCAAAGGUUCCCUCAGA
rnacentral:rRNA from 1 species